AACUUUCAGCAACGGAUCUCUUGGUUCUGGCAUCGAUGAAGAACGCAGCGAAAUGCGAUAAGUAAUGUGAAUUGCAGAAUUCAGUGAACCAUCGAAUCUUUGAACGCACAUUGCGCCCGCCAGCACUCUGGCGGGCAUGCCUGUCCGAGCGUCAU
rnacentral:rRNA from 1 species